AUUGAACGCUGGCGGCAGGCCUAACACAUGCAAGUCGAACGAGUGGCGGACUGGUGAGUAAUGUCUGGGAACAUGCCUGAUGGAGGGGGAUAACUACUGGAAACGGUAGCUAAUACCGCAUACCCUCAUAUGUGCCCAGAUGGGAUUAGUUUGUUGGUUGGGGAAAGGCUCACCAAGGAGACGGACCCGAGCGGGUCUGAGAGGAUGACCAGCCACACGGGAACUGAGACACGGUCCAUACUCCUACGGGAGGCAGCGGUGGGUAAUAUUGCACAAUGGGCGAAAGCCUGAUGCAGCCAUGCCGCGUGUAUGAAGAAGGCCUUCGGGUUGGAAAGUACUUUCAGCGGGGAGGCGUUACCCGCAGAAGAAGCACCGGCUAACGCCGUGCCAGCAGCCGCGGUAAUAC
rnacentral:rRNA from 1 species